rnacentral:rRNA from 1 species
AGCGAACGCUGGCGGCAGGCCUAACACAUGCAAGUCGAACGAACCCUUCGGGGUUAGUGGCGGACGGGUGAGUAACACGUGGGAACGUGCCUUUAGGUUCGGAAUAACUCAGGGAAACUUGUGCUAAUACCGAAUGUGCCCUUCGGGGGAAAGAUUUAUCGCCUUUAGAGCGGCCCGCGUCUGACUAGCGAGUUGGUGAGGUAAUGGCUCACCAAGGCUACGAUCAGUAGCUGGUCUGAGAGGAUGACCAGCCACAUUGGGACUGAGACACGGCCCAAACUCCUACGGGAGGCAGCAGUGGGGAAUCUUGCGCAAUGGGCGAAAGCCUGACGCAGCCAUGCCGCGUGGAUGAUGAAGGUCUUAGGAUUGUAAAAUCCUUUCACCGGUGAAGAUAAUGACUGUAGCCGGAGAAGAAGCCCCGGCUAACUUCGUGCCAGCAGCCGCGGUAAAAC